rnacentral:misc_RNA from 1 species
GAUGAAGAACGUAGCGAAAUGCGAUAAGUAGUGUGAAUUGCAGAAUUCAGUGAAUCAUCGAAUCUUUGAACGCACAUUGCGCCCCUUGGUAUUCCAUGGGGCAUGCCUGUUCGAGCAUCAUUUGUACCUUCAAGCUUUGCUUGGUGUUGGGUGUUUGUCCCGAGGGACUCGCCUUAAAGUAAUUGGCAGCCAGUGUUUGGUUUUGAAGCGCAGCACAAGUCGCGAUUCAAGGCUACACGCCCGCUUCCACAAGCCUUUUUUCACUUUUGACCUCGGAUCAGGUAGGGAUACCCGCUGAACUUAAGCAUAUCAAUAAGCGGAGGA